rnacentral:tRNA from 1 species
GUCUUUUUAUUAUUAAUUUUGAAAAUUAGUUAAGGCUCUGCCAAAAGACU